GGCGACCGGCGCACGGGUGAAGUAAACAUACCCAACCUGCGAUAACUCGGGGAUAGUCCUUUAAAAGAAAGAUUAAUACCCGAUGGUAUAAUCAGACCGCAUGGUUUGAUUAUUAAAGAAUUUCGGUUAUCGAUGGGGAUGCGUUCCAUUAGGCAGUUGGUGAGGUAACGGCUCACCAAACCUUCGAUGGAUAGGGGUUCUGAGAGGAAGGUCCCCCACAUUGGAACUGAGACACGGUCCAA
rnacentral:rRNA from 1 species